UUUUUUUACCUCUUAAAUUCAUCUCUUCUUUGAGUAAACCAAAUUCUCCAUUGAGAUUAUCACUCUCUAAUAUUAAGCCAUCAAGACUCAUAUUAAGAUCUUCUAUACUGUUUUUUUUAUCCUUAAUUUCUUCCUUCAAUAUCUCAAUUUCAUCUUUGAAUGUCUCUUCCAUUUGAGUCUGUUGUUCAAACAAUUUACAUACUUCCGUCUUUAACCGUGCUUUUUCGAAGAAGCUUUUUUGUUCUGUAUCGGAUAAAACAGAUUUUAAAUCCUUGAUCUCAUGUUCUUUAUCUGCUACAUUUAUUUUCAACCUUGCAACUUUUUCUUGAAGUUUAGUGUUAUCUUUUGUCUCAGAAUUGAAUUUAGUUUUCCAUGUAGCAGUUUCCUUGUGUGACAAGUGAAGUUGAUCUUGCAAUUGUUGAAUAGUUUCAUGUGACUUACUUGCUUCAUUUUUCAAUGUAGAAAUUUGCAUCUCAAAAUUCUCAACUCUCUCUUUUGCCAUUCUAAGCUCAUCUUCAAAGAAUUUAAGAUCCAUUUCUUCAUUUUUCACCUUAAUAUCUUCUUCUAAUAUUGAUGGUAAUUCAUUAGUACUGAUAGUGCCGAGGUCCUGUAUGGAUUGGCCCUGACUCAUUCCGGAACAAUUACUAUCAUCGAAAUGUGUCGAUGAUUGGUUAGACUUAUAUUUUUCAACCUCAAUCUUAAGUUUAUUAAUUUCCUCUUCUGAAAGCCUUAACUUUUCAUUCACAUUCCUCAGUUCUUGUUCAUAUGCAUUGAUUUUGACACCAAAAUCCUCACAAUGUUCUUGUUCUUGUUGUUCAUACAUGAAAAUCUUUUCUUUCGCCUCACGCAACUCGAUUUCCAAUUCAAUCACUCUUUUAUUCAAUCCAUGAUCACUUGCAUUCCCAAAUAAACCUGAAGCACUAUUGAUAGAUGAAGCAUCAUCAAAUUCAUCAUCUGAAUCUGUCAAAGUAGAAGAUCCAUCUCCAUCUUUUUGAUAUGGUGAAUCAUAACCAUAACUAUUUCCACCGGAACCGAGAAAGAAAUCGAACCCUGCAGCACGGCUACUCGAUAUUUUACGUACCAUUUUUCUAGGAGAAUGAGGCCAAGAAUGUGGUUCGGAACCGUUAUCAGAAACAUUUGAAGCUUGAGAUUGAAGAUCAGAAGGUAUGUUUUUCCAUAAUUCACCCGUUACAUGUUCAUAACGUUCAGCUAAAGAUCGAUAGCCACGGUAAAACUCUUCGACAACAGA
rnacentral:lncRNA from 1 species